rnacentral:rRNA from 1 species
AUUGAACGCUGGCGGCAUGCUUUACACAUGCAAGUCGAACGGUAACAGGCCGCAAGGUGCUGACGAGUGGCGGACGGGUGCGUAAUGCAUCGGAACGUGCCCAGUCGUGGGGGAUAACUACUCGAAAGAGUAGCUAAUACCACAUCCGAUCUAUGGAUGAUAGCGGGGGACAGGAGGGCAAAGGGCGAUUGGGCAGGACGACGUCAGGUUAGUUAGUUGGUGGGGUAAGGUCUCACCAAGCCACCGAUCUGUGGCGGGGCUAAGAGGACGACCAGCCACACUGGAACUGAGACACGGCCCAGACUCCUACGGGAGGCAGCAGUGGGGAAUUUUGGACAAUGGGCGCAAGCCUGAUCCGGCAAUGCCGCGUGCAGGAAGAAGGCCUUCGGGUUGUAAACUGCUUUUGUACGGAACGAAACGGCUCUGGUUAAUACCCGGAGCUAAUGACGGUACCGUAAGAAUAAGCACCGGCUAACUACGUG